GAUGAACGCUGGCGGCGUGCUUAACACAUGCAAGUCGAACGGAAAGGCCCAAGCUUGCUUGGGUACUCGAGUGGCGAACGGGUGAGUAACACGUGGGUGAUCUGCCCUGCACUUCGGGAUAAGCCUGGGAAACUGGGUCUAAUACCGGAUAGGACCACAUUUUGGAUGGUGUGGUGGAAAGUUUUUCGGUGUGGGAUGGGCUCGCGGCCUAUCAGCUUGUUGGUGGGGUAAUGGCCUACCAAGGCGUCGACGGGUAGCCGGCCUGAGAGGGUGUACGGCCACAUUGGGACUGGGAUACGGCCCAGACUCCUACGGGAGGCAGCAGUGGGGAAUAUUGCACAAUGGGCGCAAGCCUGAUGCAGCGACGCCGCGUGGGGGAUGACGGCCUUCGGGUUGUAAACUCCUUUCGCUAGGGACGAAGCGUUAUGUGACGGUACCUGGAGAAGAAGCACCGGCUAACUACGUG
rnacentral:rRNA from 1 species